rnacentral:rRNA from 1 species
UACGUAGGGGACGAGCGUUGUCCGGAAUUACUGGGCGUAAAGGGCGCGCAGGCUGUAGAUCAAGUCAGCUGUGAAAUGUCUGGGCUUAACCCGGGCAUGCGGUUGAAACUGAUGUACUGGAGUGCUGUAGAGGCAAGUGGAAUUCCCAGUGUAGCGGUGAAAUGCGUAGAUAUUGGGGAGAACACCGGUGGCGAAGGCGACUUGCUGGGCAGCAACUGACGCUGAGGCGCGAAAGCCAGGGGAGCAAACGGGAUUAGA